GUCGCCAUAGAGACGGCGGCGCUUGGCGGCGGGGGGAGCGGGUGCUGCCGUUCCUGAGGCGACGGGAGCGGGAGACGGGAGCCAUCCCGGGAUCCGCCGGGAGCGGGACCAUCCCCAGAUCCACCGGGAGCGGUACCAUCCCGGGAUCCGCCGGGACCGGGCUCCGGCCGCCGCUCUGCGCGCUGCCUCCCGCUGCCCGCGCAGUUAUAACACAUGGUUUUAAUGCUCUGAACAACUGAGAUGAGACUGAAGACUUCCCUUUUAAAGGAGCCAAAACAUAAGGACUUGGUGAGCUGUGUGGGAUGGACAACAGCUGAUGAGCUCUACUCCUGCAGCGAUGACCACCAGAUCAUGAAGUGGAACCCCGUGACCAGCGAGACCACUCGAGUGGUGAAGCUUCCAGAUGAUGUUUAUCCCAUAGAUCUGCACUGGUUUCCCAGAGGGAUUGGUGGCAAGAAGCAAUCCCAGGCUGAGAGCUUUGUUCUGACCAGUUCUGAUGGGAAAUUCCACUUGAUUUCCAAGUUAGGAAGAGUGGAGAAAAGUGUAGAAGCACAUUGUGGAGCUGUCCUUGCAGGAAGGUGGAAUUAUGAGGGAACAGCCCUGGUUACAGUUGGGGAAGAUGGGCAAGUGAAAAUCUGGUCUAAAAGUGGAAUGCUGAGAUCCACUUUGGCUCAGCAAGGAACACCAGUGUACUCAGUAUCCUGGGCACCUGACUCUGACAAAGUUCUCUACACCUCAGGGAAGCAGCUGAUUAUUAAACCCCUCCAGCCAAAUGCUAAAGUUUUGCAGUGGAAAGCCCACGAUGGCCUGAUUCUAAAAACUGACUGGAAUUCAGUGAAUGAUCUGAUUCUUUCUGCAGGGGAAGAUUGUAGAUACAAGGUUUGGGACAGUUUUGGCCGUGCCCUGUACAAUUCCCAGCCCCACGAGUAUCCCAUCACUUCCAUUGCCUGGGCUCUGGAUGGAGAAUUAUUUGCUGUGGGAUCUUUUAACACUUUACGUCUCUGUGAUAAAACUGGGUGGUCUUAUUCCCUGGAGAAGCCCAACACUGGCAGCAUUUUUGCCAUUUCCUGGUCCAUCGAUGGCACCCAGCUGGCCGGAGCGUGUGGGAAUGGCCAGGUCAUCUUUGCCCACGUGGUGGAACAACACUGGGAGUGGAAAAACUUCCAAAUUACCUUAAUGAAGAGAAGAACCAUGAAGGUGCACAAUGUCAUCAACGAUGCUGUGGAUUUGUUGGAAUUCCGGGACAGGGUCAUUAAAGCCUCCCUGAAUUAUGGAUAUUUGGUGGUUUCCACUUCCCUGCAGUGUUAUGUGUUCUCGACAAAGAACUGGAACACUCCAUUGAUUUUUGACCUGAAGGAAGGAACUGUGAGUUUGAUUCUCCAAGCAGAAAGGCAUUUUCUUCUUGUGGAUGGUGGAGGACUUUAUUUAUAUUCCUAUGAAGGCAGAUUAAUUUCCUCUCCAAAAUAUCCAGGCAUGAGAACAGACAUUUUAAAUGCCAAGACAGUGUCCCUGAGCAAUGACACCCUGGCAGUGAAGGACAAAGCUGAUGAGAAGGUUAUCUACAUAUUUGAAGCUUUAUCUGGGAAGCCACUGGGUGAUGGAAAACAUCUGACCCACAAGACAGAGAUUGUGGAGAUUGCUUUGGACCAGAAAGGACUGACAAGUGAGAGAAAAAUAGCUUUUACUGAUAAGAACAGAGAUCUUUUCAUCACCUCUGUGAAAAGGUUUGGGAAAGAGCAGAAGAUUGUCAAGAUAGGGACAAUGGUGCAAAGUUUGGCCUGGAAUGACACCUCCAACAUCCUGUGUGGGAUUCAGGAUUCCAGGUUCACAGUCUGGUAUUAUCCCAACACUGUUUAUGUGGAUAAAGAUCUUCUCCCAAAAACCCUGUAUGAAAAAGAUGCCAGUGAAUUCAGCAAAAACCCCCAGAUUGUGAGUUUUAUAGGAAAUCAGGUGACAAUUAGGAGAGCAGAUGGGUCCCUGGUGCACCUGCACAUCUCCCCUUACCCUGCCAUUCUCCACGACUACAUCAGCACCUCCAGGUGGGAGGAUGGGGUCAGGCUCUGCCGAUUUGUCAAGGACCAGACCCUGUGGGCUUGUUUGGCUGCCAUGGCAGUGGCCAGCAAGGACAUGACCACAGCUGAAAUUGCCUAUGCAGCCAUUGGUGAGAUUGACAAAGUCCAGUACAUCAAUUCCAUCAAGGAUCUGCCAUCCAAGGAAUCCAGGCUGGCUCACAUGCUGCUGUUCAGUGGGAACACCCAGGAGGCUGAAACCCUCCUGCUGCAGUCAGGCCUGGUUUACCAAGCUAUCCAAGUCAACAUUAAUCUUUACAACUGGGAAAGAGCCCUGGAUCUGGCAGUGAAGCACAGGACACACGUGGACACGGUCCUGGCUUACAGACAGAAAUUCUUGGAAGAUUUUGGGAAAAAAGAAACCAACCAAAGGUUUUUGCAAUAUGCAGAAGGUCUGGAAGUGGAUUGGAAUAAAAUCAAAGCCAAAAUAGAGCUGGAAAUUGCUAAAGAAAGAGAACGAGCAGCAGCCAGUGCUGCAGUGAGGAGCAGCGUGACUGUGCAGCAAUAAUUCACAUUUUGGGCACCUUCAAAAUGCUGCUUUGAUAUUUGGGUGAGACUUGAGUUCAUUCACUUCAUUUAUCCUUGGCCACAGUAAAUCCUCUCUGAUUUAAAGGAUCUCUUGAAUCUGAUAAAAAAUGGAGGUUGAAAAACAAACCUUCAGGUGAAAAAUAAAAUCCUCAAGUGAGGUAAAAGCAAAAAGCUCAGGUUGUCUUUGCCAUUAGAGACACCUUGAGAGGAGAGACAGGGAGGCGCUCGUGGCUGCUGCUCUGCACUGACCACAUCCUCAGUUCCAGGUGCUAAAGUCAAGCUAGGAAAGGAAAAAUAAAGGUGACCCUGCCAAAUCUGAUAGGCAGCUGCUGACCCACCUACGUGAGCGGCUCGUGGGGUAAAUUUGUUUCCUUUGUCCUGUUUACUGGUGAUGAUUUCACUGCUGAUAGCUGCGAGCCAUCCCCCUGCUGUCAGCCCCAGUUUGGGGUUAUAAUGUAUUUAUGACACAUUUUGGAGUGCUCAGGGACAAAAAUGAGGGAAAGAAUCUCAGCUGUGAUCCGGAGUUUGAGGAAGGAGGUGGUGGUGAUGCUGAGCUUCUGGCAAACAAGGAGAAACUGCUGUUUCUUUCUGGAUUUCAGGGGUUUAUUCUGCAUCUGUUUCCUCAUUUUGGGGACAUUUCUCCCUGCAGAAGGGGGCAGGAGCUGGGAGAGGAGGGCAGGAGGUGCCAGCAGCGGGUGCAGCCCCAGCUGCUUUAGGAGCUGCUCCUCACACAGGGGGGACUUUGGGGACCCUUUGCUCUGGGGGCUCAUCCCUGCCCGUGGCCAGCAGGAUUUGGGAUGCUCCAGCUCCAGCUCCAGCUCCAGCUCUGGGGGCCACAUUCCCUCCAGACCUGACAAUAACUGAUGUGUGGUGUUUUGAUGGCAAAUUGGGAGCAAACAGCAGGCGCCUGGCAAAACCUGCCCGGCUGUUAAUAGAGCUCAGCCUUUUAACAGCAUUUCUGAUCAGCUGGGACUCCCUCAGAGCUCCAUGAAAUAUUAAAGCCUGUUGAUAACUCGUUAAAACCAAUGUUUUGCCUGGCCCUGUGUGCUGUGAGCUGGGAUUUGGUGCUCAGCCUGCAGCAGUGGCUCGGGAGCAGCUCCUCAUCCCAUCGGACAAGGAAAACUGGCUGGAGUGAGCAGGGUACAAGAAGGAAUAAGGAUUCCUGCUCUGCAGCAACCCCAGCUCCCUCUGCCCCAUGCCUGGCUUGGAAAAAUGCAGGAAUCAGGAGGAAAUGCUUGGAAAAUACAGGCUCAGGAGGAAUUUGGGCCAGGGGAUUCAUCCUGGGGUGGCUGUGGAUAUAGGGGCUGCGUCCUCUGUGGGUUUUGGGGGAUUUGGGGAGGUGCAGCUGGUUCAGCUGCUGCAUUUUGGAAAUCUGUGGAGAGUGGGAGUGUGGUGGCAGGCAGGGACCUUUGAUUCCAUCAGGAUUCCACAGGCAGGGACAACUUCCACUAGAGCAGGUUGCUCCCAGCUCCAUCCAAGCUGGAAUUUCUGUGCCUCCCAAGCACAGCAGAGCACUGGGGCAGGACCAGGAGAUGUGAACAGGAAUAAACUCAUCAAUAGUGACCACAUCCUGCCUGCCCCAUCCCAAAAUCUGUAGGAAAGCCACUUUGAAACUCCCUGGAGUCAGGUAAAAUCCAGAGCCGCUGUGCUGGUGCUGGGAAGGAGCUUUCAAGUUGAUUUUCUCCAGUUUUGCAGGGGAUGGACAACUAUUGAUCCUGCAAAUGACCCCUGCAGAAACCCAUCGAUCCCUUUGGAGCAGCAGGAUCAUUAAGGCUCCAGGACUCCCAGACCUUUCAGGUGUCCUGCCAAAGGGCUGACACAGCAAAACAACCAUUUGAUGGUGUCAUUGUCCCCAAAUUGCCAUUUCGGGAGCUCCAAAGUCCUCCCCACGGGAAUCUGCUCCAUAAAAAUGCUCUUGGAACAGUGAUGCUUCACAUCUGAAUUCCCUUUGAUGUGUUUUUUCCCCCAAAUAUGGGGAAACUACUCAGGAAAAAAAUCAUGAUGACCUGAGGUUUGUUUUUUUGGGAAGACUCUGAGAGCCUCACGUGUUUGGUAGCUGGAAAAAUCCCAUGGAUUCAUGGAGGGAAGCACAGCUCUGGAUGUUGAUAGGAACAGGUUCAGCACUCUCAACUUCAAUGUUAUUUUUAUAUCUGGUUGAUCCAAACCUUGUGAUAAUUGAGGUUUUUUAUAGGAAUUAAGGAGCAAAUCGCUGCUGCACUGGAGGUUGGACAGAAAAUCUGUAGCUGCCACAUCCCUGGAAGUGUCCAAGGCCAGGUUGGAGCACCCUGGGAUGGUGGAGGUGAAUGGGAUUAAGGUCCCUUCCCACCCAAACCAUUCCAUGAUAAUCAAACACAGCCUGGUGGGAACCUCCUCCAAGGCCAAAAUAAUUCUUAAAUCGUUCUGAAUAGAACAAAAUACUUCUUAAUAUUCCUGUAAAAACUCCCAGAGAAGCUCCAAAGGAAGCCCAGCCAUCAGCAGGGCUCAGGGAAAGCUGGAAUUAAACCCCAAAGCUGAGCUCCAGUGCCUCCCCUUGCUCCAGCACAUCUGUGACUGCAAUAAGGCCCCAAACCCGAGGAGAUGACUCUGCAAAUGUAAAACAACUCCACCAGCCAUUACCUCACAGCUCAGAAAUCUCCUCUGCCAGCAAAUAUUUGCUGUUGGACUGUUUAAAACCCAGGGAAAGUGAGAGAGAGAGAGGCUGAAACCCUCCUGGACAACUCUGAUUCCUUCCCAGGCUGUUCACAAGUUUGGGUGUCCUCCAGAAAUGAAAUGUGUUUUCUGUAAUAAAUCAUUCCAAUCGAAUAAAUAAAUAAAAUUUAUUCAUUGCUAUCUA